GACGAACGCUGGCGGCGUGCCUAAUACAUGCAAGUCGAACGCAGUGGGGAUGGGUGAGUAACACGUGGGUAACCUCCAAUCAGAGGGGAUAACACUUGGAAACAGGCGCUUAACCGAUACUGCUGGAUGGACUCGCGGUGCAUUAGCUAGUUGGGGCGGUAACGGCUCACCAAGGCCACGAUGCAGAGCCGACCUGAGAGGGUGACCAGCCACACUGGAACUGAGACACGGCCCAGACUCCUACGGGAGGCAGCAGUAGGGAAUCUUCGGCAAUGGGCGAAAGCCUGACCGAGCAACGCCGCGGGUAUGAAGAAGGUUUUCGGGUCGUAAAGCUCUGUCGUUGGGGAAGCGGUAUCUAACCAAGAAGCCACGGCUAACUACGUGCCAGCAGCCGCGGUAAUAC
rnacentral:rRNA from 1 species